CGUCAGCAAUACGGGCAGUGGCAUGACGGGUGAGUAACGUCGUGGGAACCGUACCUUUCGGUUCGGAAUAAUCCCGGGGAAAUCUCGGGCUUAAUACCGUGAUACGUCCGCAAUGGAGAAAGAUUUAUCGCCGACACAGGAUCGGCCCGCGUCGGAUUAUGCUAGUCGGUGUAGUGUAACGGCCCAUCCUAAGGCGCACGACUCCGUAGCUGGUCUGUAGUAGGAGUGAUCAGCCACACUUGGGGACUGUAGACACGGGUCCCAGACCUCCAUACGGGAGGCAGCAGUGGGGAAUAUUGGACAAUGGGCGAAAGCCUGAUCCAGCCAUGCCGCGUGAGUGAAGAAGGCCUUAGGGUUGUAAAGCUCUUUCAGCGGGGAAGAUAAUGACGGUACCCGCAGAAGAAGUCCCGGCUAACUUCGUGCCAGCAGCCGCGGUAAUACGAAGGGGACUAGCGUUGUUCGGAUUUACUGGGCGUAAAGCGCGCGUAGGCGGAUCGCUAAGUCAGGGGUGAAAUCCCAGGGCUCAACCCUGGAAACUGCCUUUGAUACUGACGGUCUGGAGAUCGGGAGAGGUUGGUGGAAUUCCGAGUGUAGAGGUGAAAUUCGUAGAUAUUCGGAGGAACACCAGAAGCGAAGGCGGCCAACUGGCCCGAUACUGACGCUGAGGCGCGAAAGCGUGGGGAGCAAACCAGGAUUAGAUACCCUGGUAGUCCACGCCCGUAAACGAUUGGAAUUG
rnacentral:rRNA from 1 species